rnacentral:rRNA from 1 species
AGUGAAUGCUGGCGGUAGGCCUAACACAUGCAAGUCGAACGGCAGCACAGUAAGAGCUUGCUCUUACGGGUGGCGAGUGGCGGACGGGUGAGGAAUACAUCGGAAUCUACUUUUUCGUGGGGGAUAACGUAGGGAAACUUACGCUAAUACCGCAUACGACCUACGGGUGAAAGCAGGGGAUCUUCGGACCUUGCGCGAUUGAAUGAGCCGAUGUCGGAUUAGCUAGUUGGCGGGGUGAAGGCCCACCAAGGCGACGAUCCGUAGCUGGUCUGAGAGGAUGAUCAGCCACACUGGAACUGAGACACGGUCCAGACUCCUACGGGAGGCAGCAGUGGGGAAUAUUGGACAAUGGGCGCAAGCCUGAUCCAGCCAUACCGCGUGGGUGAAGAAGGCCUUCGGGUUGUAAAGCCCUUUUGUUGGGAAAGAAAAGCAGCAGGUUAAUACCCCGCUGUUCUGACGGUACCCAAAGAAUAAGCACCGGCUAACUUCGUG